AGUGAACGCUGGCGGUAGGCCUAACACAUGCAAGUCGAACGGCAGCACAGGAGAGCUUGCUCUCUGGGUGGCGAGUGGCGGACGGGUGAGGAAUACAUCGGAAUCUACCUUUUCGUGGGGGAUAACGUAGGGAAACUUACGCUAAUACCGCAUACGACCUACGGGUGAAAGUGGGGGACCGCAAGGCCUCACGCGAUUAGAUGAGCCGAUGUCCGAUUAGCUAGUUGGCGGGGUAAUGGCCCACCAAGGCGACGAUCGGUAGCUGGUCUGAGAGGAUGAUCAGCCACACUGGAACUGAGACACGGUCCAGACUCCUACGGGAGGCAGCAGUGGGGAAUAUUGGACAAUGGGCGCAAGCCUGAUCCAGCCAUACCGCGUGGGUGAAGGAGGCCUUCGGGUUGUAAAGCCCUUUUGUUGGGAAAGAAAUCCUGUCGAUUAAUACUCGGUGGGGAUGACGGUACCCAAAGAAUAAGCACCGGCUAACUUCGUGCCAGCCGCCGCAGUAAAAC
rnacentral:rRNA from 1 species